rnacentral:misc_RNA from 1 species
AACGCACGAGACCUGCGGACCUGCGGAGGGAUCAUUAGUGAACGCCCUCACGGGCUUAUAACUAUUCCAAACCUCUGUGAACCGUGCCCUUCGGGGCUAUUUUACAAACAUGGUGUAAUGAACGUCAUAUAUCAUAACAAGACAAAACUUUCAACAAUGGAUCUCU